GCCGCCGGACCCCGAUUUCUGUUCUUAUCCUGAAGCAAAGUUCUUAACCUGAAGCACUAUUUCUAGGUUAGCAGAGUGUGUAACCUGAAGCGUAUGUAACCUGAAGCGUAUGUAACCCGAGGUACCACUGUACUGAGUUAUCUCACAUGUCAAAGUCACUGGUCUGAAUAAAAAAAUCCUAUGCCUUAUAGUGUUCAAGUUAUGAGUGAAGGAUGAGAAUUAGGGAAUUGCUGUAUACACACAUGACUUCUAGAGCCGCUCCAGGAUUAGGAUCCCUGCAGCUUAAGCUUCCUUGGUUUCAUAGUAGAUCUGCCCUUGCAUGCAAGUAAACAUAAGACGGGUGUACAAGUAGCUAACUUUAAUGGGAACUUAAAUCCUAAGGUGCUCCCAGGUGACCUGUUUACUGAGCAUUCAUCCUGAUUUCUUUGCGAGGAGAUCAGAUGAUGUUGGCUGUUGAACUAGCAUUCGUUCUGGUUUGUCUGCAGGGAGGUUAGAUGAUGUUGCAUCAUGCAAGUGUUAUCCCAUACUUGCCAGUGCACUUUCAUGCCACUUAUUGCAAAAAGCUGUUUUUUUUUUUGCAGAAGUGGGCUUCUUGUGCAAGAGCUCCCCAUACAGUAUAAUUGCACACCCUGAAUUUACCUGUAUGUGAUUGUAUCCUACCUGCAAAGAGCAAUGGCCUGAAGUACUCCUAAGGAAAUCUCCAGAAUUUUGAAAUAGUUUUCGUUUCCCCCCUCCCAAUUUGAACAACCCUCCCCACUAAUUUCAGUUCCUGGGGAAAACACUGAUGGCUACAUAGUUGUAGCACAGGAAUAGAGGGCAUUUUUCAGCCCAAUAGGCACAUUCCCUCAUGUAUGGUGUCAAUGUGACGUAAAUCAGUUAACGUUAGCAUAAACUUGCAUGUGAGCAGAAAGAAUUCUGAAAAAAUCCCCCCCAAAAUUCUUUGUUUUUAGAUGACGCAUCUGUGUUUCGCAACAGAAAUGAUCUCAGAAGAGGUGUUCGGCGUUUCCAGACUAUCUUCAGGUGGGAUUCAACCACAGACAGGCAAAUCCAGGUUUUGCCAUUAUAGCCUAUUGGGAAGUCUUGUGGAACAAACCUGCUUCACCCCCAAAAGAUUUAUUUUUUUGCAGUAAGGAAAGUGGCAAGAAAUUGCACUGGAAGCUGUGGGACAACCCAUGCUUUGAUACGUCAUCUAACCUCAAAAUCAGAAUGAAUGCUCAUUCUGGAUGAAUUCUCUGAAGCAUUUCAACUAGAAUUAACUGUUGACUUGUGUGUGAGAGCAAACCAACAAUCAUGCUUCUUCAAAGAUGAUGCAGCCCUAUUUUAAACAAAUCCAGUAUUUUGGCUGAAAAGAAAUCUGCCUCUAGUCAUUUAUUUUGAACCACACUAGCAUUGGCUUUAAAAUAUAGGUGUCGUUUUCUUUAAUUUUCUUAAACAAGACAGUCCCCACCCCCCACCCCAGAAGUAAAUAUAUAGCACUCCUCCUUAAACCCCUGAAACUUUCCACAAAAGUAUUUUUGUGGCACUGUCGUGUGGUAGAUUGAAUUAGUGGAUUUCCAAGCACAGGGAAGAAAUUUUGCAGCCAGUUCAUCGUGAAAUUCUCUUGCAGUUAACCAUCAAUUGUUUUUUCUCACACACACCCAUGCUGUUUUGACGGAACGGUUUGUUUUUUCACGUCUGUCAGCUGGGAAAUCCGCACCCUCCUUUUCUUCAAAAAGAGAACUUUUCCUCAGAAUUUUCGAAUGGAAGAAGCUCGCUUGUUUUCAGGAUGUCACGAUGAAUGACUCAUGGGCUUUGGACUGAUCCUUCGGUGUGAUGAGGAAAUUCGAGAGCUGACAAGAGGAAAGAGGCAGCUUUGGAUUUGCUAGGGCAUAUUUCCUUGUCUAAUUGGAAUGCUUAUUACAAUUUGCUGUUCCUCCAAUGGGGAUUUCUCCUGACUCUCUGAUUUCAGUAUCGGCUUCAUAAUUGCAUUCAGUUGCAUUCUCCGGAGGUAAAGAAGAACUGAUACCGUUUUCAAGAAAAUGUAAUGCAAAGUUAGCCUAGUGACUGCAGAGUUUGAACCAACCCCCCUCCCACUCCCCACAACCACCAUUAGCUGACGUGAUUAUUACAUCAGCACUCCUUUUCCUCAGCUGCUGUUCGGGAGAAAUCCCCAUUGGGACGCUGGUGGGUGGAGGACUUUAAUGUGUGGAGGGGAUGUGUUUCAGCACUCGAAGGCUCCUGUCUCACCGCCUCCACUUUCAGUUUUUAGUCCUAAGAGGUCAGUAGCGAUGGGUGGAAAACAGAGGCCCACCAAAAAUGAUAUAUGAGGCCAUCCUUAGAUCACAAGUGACUCAAAAUGCAUCAGUGACCCUAAUGGGACUUCUGAAUGUUACACGUGUCCUUCCAAAGUCAACAGCAUUCGAAGUAAGAAUUUGUGUACCUCUCCAAACCACAGAGCCUAGGACUUGCCGAUCGGAAGGUCAGCGGUUCGAAUCCCCGUGAUGGGGUGAGCUCCCAUUGUUUGGUCCCAGCUCCUGCCAACCUAGCAGUUCGAAAGCACACCAGUGCAAGUAGAUAAAUAGGUACCACUCUGGCGGGAAGGUAAACGGCGUUUCCGUGCGCUGCUCUGGUUCACCAGAAGUGGUUUAGUCAUGCUGGCCACAUGACACGGAAGCUGUCUGUGGACAAACGCCAGCUCCCUCGGCCUAUAGAGCGAGAUGAGCGCCGCAACCCCAGAGUUGUCCGCGACUGGACCUAAUGGUCAGGGGUACCUUUACCAAACCUUUGAGGAUGAGAUACCCUUGCACUUGGGGUUGUGACUCUGUAUCAGAGAAUCCGCUUUGCAUGCAGAAGGCCCCGGAUUCAAUCCUUGGCACCUCCAGGUAGGGCUGGGAAUAUCUCCUCUCUGAAAACCAGAGAGCAGCUGCCUGUCAGUGUUGACAGUGCUGAGCUAGAUGGAUCAAUGGUCUGAGUCAGCAGCUUCCUGUGCAAAACACACACGAGCGGUGUGUGGCUGCCCCGUGUGGUGAACCACUGAACUGCAGUUGGCAGUGUUCUUCAUGCACUGGGACUAUGUGGUCCACCCAGGCUGGUCAUUGGAUAUCCCUGGGAAGGAAGUACACUGAUCUGCUCACUGAGUGAAACCAAAAUCAACACAUUAGCCUGCCUCAGUCACAAGAGCUGCCUAACUUAGCACUCCUCAAGUUAGCCCUCAAGGGCAGUGGAAGACGUUGCUCAUUGUCAGUGUCAAAGUGAGAUUCAGCUGCAAGUCUGGUUGGCUUUUGUACACACAAGGGGAGAGAGGUUCAUUUUGUCUUUUGCCUCAGGUUGCAAAAGGUCUUGAGUCGGCCAGGGCAAACAACAACCAAAAUGAUCAAGGGGAUGGGGCAAGUCACCUGUGAAGAAAUAUUUCAGUGCUGGGGACUUUUAGGUUUAGAGAAAAGGGGAAUAAGAGGUUGUCAGUUUGCAUUUCUUAGUAAAGAAAGUAUUGAUCUGAUGUGUAGAGAUAUUUCCUAUUCCAAUUAAUUCAUGAGGGUUCUGGAAGCUUCUCUGUGUGAAAGAAAUGAGCAGAAGGUUCAUGAUGGUUAUUAUUAUGGUGCCUCUCCCAAUAUGUAACCCAAAGUAAAAACAAUAUUAAACCAUAAAAUGAAAAUUUU
rnacentral:lncRNA from 1 species